CCGCACCUCACCUCUGGGCUCAUCCCAACCCUAUACGCUGCCACUCAAUUCUGGCCGCCACCCCAUCCCGGCGCCGCUCCAAUCCGCCGCCGCCACCCCUUCCCACCUACGCCGCUCCACUCUGGCGCUGCUCCAAUCCACCGUAGCGCAUCUCAAUCCGCCGACUCGCAUCCAUGCCGGCCUCAUGUUCGAUUCUUGCGCAUCCCAGCCCGGCGGCGGAGGAUGAUGGUGGACCACAAGAUGCAAGCGGAGGAGGGCUGUGUCGGGUGUGGGCCACAAGAGGCUCGUGGAGAGAUCCAGAAGAGGGAGGUCGGCUUCAACCACAAGAUCCGCCACGUGAAGCCUGCCUGAGAUCCACAAAGGGAGAAAUUCACAUAAAGCAUAAGACAGCAAGCAAGCUCUGAUCACUCUAUCCUCUAUGGUGUAUUUUGCUUGCUAGUUUCUCUCCUGUGAACUGUGGUGGUGGGAAUGACUUGGUUUAAACAACCGAGGAGACAAGACUUUAUGAGCAAGCUGAAAAAAAGGAUAGACUUCGAAGGUUGAGGAGCUGCAAAAGCUGAUCUUGAAUCUUUUGGAUUACAUAAUAAAGUGAAAAGAGCUCUCCUUUUGUUAAGUUGGAGUCUGUAUGGGGACUGGCUGCUGGUGAAGGGCACAAUUAACCUCUUGUGUAGUUAGUAACUUAGUUGGAGUCUGUAUGGGGACUGGCUGCUGCUCUGAACUCACUGUAAGAGCUGGACAUGCUGUACGCGUGUAGCCAAUUCAUGAACUAAUGUAUAACUGCGAUAAU